rnacentral:rRNA from 1 species
AUACAGAGGGUGCAAGCGUUAAUCGGAAUUACUGGGCGUAAAGCGCGCGUAGGCGGUUUGUUAAGUUGGAUGUGAAAGCCCUGGGCUCAACCUGGGAACUGCAUUCAAAACUGGCGAACUAGAGUAUGGUAGAGGGUAGUGGAAUUCCUGGUGUAGCGGUGAAAUGCGUAGAUAUCAGGAGGAACAUCAGUGGCGAAGGCGACUACCUGGACCAAUACUGACGCUGAGGUGCGAAAGCGUGGGGAGCAAACAGGAUUAGAAACCCUUGUAGUCC